rnacentral:lncRNA from 1 species
CGAGCAUGGAGUGGCAUCCUCUAUUGAUGGUCCAGUCUUUCUGUAUUAACACUAGUACUGGAGCCAUAGCUCAAGCUGAAGAAUUAAUGUUCUAUCUAAGACCAAAUAUUUUCUAUAUUACAAUUAUCUGGUUCGAUAAGAUCGAAAUAAAAUCGAUCUUGAAAAGAUCGAUUGAAAGAAGAACUUGACCGACUCAUCGACUAGAGAAAUUGGAUCUAAUGAGUUCGAUGAUC